rnacentral:rRNA from 1 species
GAUGAACGCUGGCGGCGUGCCUAAUACAUGCAAGUCGAGCGAACAGACGAGGAGCUUGCUCCUCUGACGUUAGCGGCGGACGGGUGAGUAACACGUGGAUAACCUACCUAUAAGACUGGGAUAACUUCGGGAAACCGGAGCUAAUACCGGAUAAUAUAUUGAACCGCAUGGUUCAAUAGUGAAAGACGGUUUUGCUGUCACUUAUAGAUGGAUCCGCGCCGCAUUAGCUAGUUGGUAAGGUAACGGCUUACCAAGGCAACGAUGCGUGGCCGGCCCGAGAGGGUGAUCGGGCACACUGGAACUGGGACACGGUCCAGACUCCUACGGGAGGCAGCAGCAGGGAAUCUUACGCAAUGGGCGAAAGCCUGACCGAGCCACGCCGCGUGAGGGAAGAAGGUCUUCGGAUUGUAAAACUCUUUUAUUUGGGAAGAACAAAAGUGUAAGUAACUUUGCACGUCUUGACGGUACCCAAACAAAAAGCCCCGGCUAACUACGUG